rnacentral:lncRNA from 1 species
UCUGUUGGAAAGGCAUCACCCCAAGCCUCCACCACCAAUAAGCAGGAUCAGAGAAUGAAGAGCAUGGAGAAGCUCAAAAGGGAUCUCCAGAAGAUCAAAAAUGAGAGAGACGGACUCCAGGGAAUCCUAGCCAAUUACACUAACAAGGAUUUGAACAACAGAAUCAAAAUUAGGACAUUCAUGCUCAAGAUGCAACAUGACCAGGUGAUGACUGACCUGAAGAGAAUGCCCCAGGACAUCAGUGAGGCCUUAUACAAGUACAAGGAGUUGACUAAAGAAAAUCAAUUCUAC